GCCUUCGUGGUGUAAUUGUCAGCAUACUCCGUCUGAGGUUCGAGAGGUCCGAGGUUCGAGUCCCGGCGAGGGCA
rnacentral:tRNA from 1 species